ACCUGGCCUUGACAUACUAAGAACUUUCCAGAGAUGGAUGGUGCCUUCGGGAACUUAGAUACAGGUGCUGCAUGGCUGUCGUCAGCUCGUGUCGUGAGAUGUUGGGUUAAGUCCCGCAACGAGCGCAACCCUUUUCCUUAUUUGCCAGCGGGUUAAGCCGGGAACUUUAAGGAUACUGCCAGUGACAAACUGGAGGAAGGCGGGGACGACGUCAAGUCAUCAUGGCCCUUACGGCCAGGGCUACACACGUGCUACAAUGGUCGGUACAAAGGGUUGCUACCUCGCGAGAGGAUGCUAAUCUCAAAAAGCCGAUCGUAGUCCGGAUCGCAGUCUGCAACUCGACUGCGUGAAGUCGGAAUCGCUAGUAAUCGCGGAUCAGAAUGCCGCGGUGAAUACGUUCCCGGGCCUUGUACACACCGCCCGUCACACCAUGGGAGUUUGUUGCACCAGAAGUAGGUAGUCUAACCGCAAGGAGGACGCUUACCACGGUGUGGCCGAUGACUGGGGUGAAGUCGUAACAAGGUAAGCGUAGAUGA
rnacentral:rRNA from 1 species